rnacentral:rRNA from 1 species
AGUGAACGCUGGCGGUAGGCCUAACACAUGCAAGUCGAACGGCAGCACAGUAAGAGCUUGCUCUUACGGGUGGCGAGUGGCGGACGGGUGAGGAAUACAUCGGAAUCUACUUUUUCGUGGGGGAUAACGUAGGGAAACUUACGCUAAUACCGCAUACGACCUACGGGUGAAAGCAGGGGAUCUUCGGACCUUGCGCGAUUGAAUGAGCCGAUGUCGGAUUAGCUAGUUGGCGGGGUAAAGGCCCACCAAGGCGACGAUCCGUAGCUGGUCUGAGAGGAUGAUCAGCCAAACUGGAAUUGAGACAGGGUCCAGACUCCUACGGGAGGCAGCGGUGGGGAAUAUUGGAAAAGGGGCGAAAGCCUGAUCCAGCCAUACCGCGUGGGUGAAGAAGGCCUUGGGGUUGUAAAGCCCUUUUGUUGGGAAAAAAAAGCAGCAGGUUAAAACCCCGCUGUUCUGACGGUACCCAAAGAAGAAGCACCGGCUAACUUCGU